rnacentral:tRNA from 1 species
AGUGCCCCAAAAUCCCCCCU